GCCCAGGUGGCGGAAUUGGUAGACGCGCUAGCUUCAGGUGCUAGUGCCGGUAACGGCGUGAAGGUUCGAGUCCUUUCCUGGGCACCA
rnacentral:tRNA from 4 species